GUGAGGAAUUUUCCGCAAUGGGCGAAAGCCUGACGGAACAAUGCCGCGUGAAGGAUGAAGGCCUAUGGGUUGUAAACUUCUUUUCUCAGAAAAGAAUUAUGACGGUAUCUGAGGAAUAAGCAUCGGCUAACUCUGUGCCAGCAGCCGCGGUAAGACAGAGGAUGCAAGCGUUAUCCGGAAUGAUUGGGCGUAAAGCGUCUGUAGGUUGUUUAAAAAGUAUUCUGUCAAAGAUUAGGGCUUAACCCUAGAUAGGCAGAAUAAACUUUUAAGCUAGAGUUUGGUAGAGGCAGAGGGAAUUCCCGGUGGAGCGGUGAAAUGCGUAGAUAUCGGGAGGAACACCAAAGGCGAAGGCACUCUGCUGGGCCAAUACUAACACUGAGAGACGAAAGCGAGGGGAGCAAAUGGGAUUAGAAACCCUUGUAGUCC
rnacentral:rRNA from 1 species